GUUCGGUUUAUUUAAACGAAUGGACGUUCAGUAGAUAGUUGGGGUCUGAGCGCACAUUUCGUGAGAAUACCCAGCUAAAACAACUGAACGCCGCACGAAAAACAUAUUCAUCAAAACAUACAUUCAAAAGACCGAUUGGCAUACGGGGAGUAAAAUACCGAAAAGCCCGAAACUCCCGAACGGCCUGGAAGUCCAGCGGUGCUCG